rnacentral:tRNA from 1 species
GGUGACAUAGCUAAUUAGGAAAGGCGAGAGAUUAGCAUAACCCUCUGAGUGACGGUUCGAAUCCGUCUGUCACCU